AACGAACGCUGGCGGCGCGCCUAAUACAUGCAAGUCGAGCGAGAAGACGUAGCAAUACGUUUGUAAAGCGGCGAACGGGUGAGGAAUACAUGGGUAACCUACCCUCGAGUGGGGAAUAACUAGCCGAAAGGUUAGCUAACACCGCGUACGCUCCUUGGACUUCGGUUCAGGGAGGAAAGCGAUACCGUGGGUAUCGCGCUCUUGGAUGGGCUCAUGUCCUAUCAGCUUGUUGGUGAGGAACGGCUCACCAAGGCUUCGACGGGUAGCUGGUCUGAGAGGACGAUCAGCCACACUGGCACUGCGACACGGGCCAGACUCCUACGGGAGGCAGCAGUAAGGAAUAUUGCGCAAUGGGCGAAAGCCUGACGCAGCGACGCCGCGUGGGGGA
rnacentral:rRNA from 1 species